UGGGGGGCGUGGGGAAAGGUGAUUGGAAAGAGGUGUGGGCAGCACCACUCUGCGCAGGCGUAACUAAGGUACAGCCGCUGCACGUUUGAAAGGUCACCGCGGGGCACUGGCGCAUGCCCAGUGGAGGGUCAGUGGUUCCAUCCAGUCUUAACCAGCGCAGCUCCAGCGAGACACAGCUGACUCCAAGUUCCUGGAAAACAAUUCGGGCAAACAUCUUAUUUGGGCUACGCGCCGCUUGGAGGGCAUGAAGCCCAGAGGCCGGCGAUGUGGAGCUGGUGCCGUGUCCAUCAUUGAGGUUCCAGGGAACGGGCUCUUUCUGUCCUCCACUUUGCGGCCUCUGCGUACUGGUUUCCAUCCGCUGUGGGCUGGAGUGGCCGCAUGAGCCCGAUUGCCAGCCUCUGACUCUAGAAACCCGAGAACAUCGCUUCUCACUGUGCCCGGGUUGGCAGGGGGAGUUGUGCUCAUGAUGGAGGUUCCCGAGUGACCUUUGAGAUGCAGGAAUAUGACGACAUCGCCUUCUGGAUCAAUCACUUGCCCAGAGCACGCCUGCAGUAUUGAUUUUCCAUUCUAGGGUGGAAAACGGCCAUUUAUUUUGAAACAUUUUUCGUAAUAAAUCUGUGAUUUGAGAA